ACUAUCCAAGUGUCUCCUGGAGACAACUUUAUCUUCUCUCAUAAGCCACAGCCAACACCAAUCAUCCUCACAACGAAUUCACACGAACCACUCGUUCGUGACUCCAUGCCGAAUUCAUCGACAGAGCUAUCGGCCAAACCGCUUACCUCGGUUUUUCCUCAACGACACAGGUGAUCCACAGAUCACCAACCCUACGUAGGCCUACCGCAUAGACCUGACUCGCUACACGCGACGUCUCUCGCUCGCAAGCGCAGACCCAAUCACAAUCGGGCGAAAUUCUCACUUGCGAAUUCGCACACACUCCAACCAGGAGUACU
rnacentral:lncRNA from 1 species